UGUGCAUACGCAAAAUCUAGCUUUUGUGCCUACGUACACUUUUAGGAUGAAAUCUAUGGAGAGUUUUCUAAAUGAGACCCCUGGACAUUAUUGGUCUU